UGGCUCAGUUUGUAGAGCAUGGUGCUUGCAACGCCAGGGUUGUGGGUUCGAUUCCCAC
rnacentral:tRNA from 1 species